ensembl:lncRNA
CUGAGCAGUAUGCCUCACUGACAGAGCAGCUGUGUGUAUUUGUAGCCUCACUACCAAACCAGCAUUUCAUCUCCGAGGAAGUUAUCCCAGAGAGAAGUAAAGCAAGUGUACAGGAUUGUAAGGAUUGCUGGUCAGUGCUGUUAUCCCCUGCUGUGAGGUCGCUGUGGGAGUGCAUGCAUGCACGACCGCAUCAAGGCACACCAUUAUACCACUAAACUGCAUGCCAGCCCUAAGGAAAAGGAGCAUAUGAGGUGCAGUAUCCUAACUAUUCUGGACAGAGACUUCUGAUGCUGCACAUGAAAUCGGCAAGACCACUGUUCCAGUUUUGGCUUUACAAGGAUGAAGGUGGGUUUGUUGAAGUACAGUCAGGUCAGGUCCAUAUGUAGUUAGACACUGACACACUUUUUUUUUUUUUUUUUACCUGUUUACUAAAUGUGUAGACUCUCCACAUUCAGAUUAGAUUAAGGGUUUAGGAGUUUCAGCUCCUUAACAUUUGC